rnacentral:lncRNA from 1 species
GUUUUAGCUAGCCACUGACUACACUUUAGCUAGCAAGUUAGCAGAGCAGUAAAUCAAAAAUAUUUUUUGUAUUACUUAGCCUUGGUAAUUGUUUGUACAGUAUGAUGAUUUUGGUGUCUAUUUCAGAGCUUAUGGCAUUUUUCAAGGAUGAGCAUAAGAGCAUUACAUGGGGAGAAGACCACUAAGUCUGGCAUUUGGAGAAGUACAUCUAUAGUGAGGGGCGACUUACCAAUUUGGUCAGGGCCAGCAUGAGCUAAAUGUGCUAAAUAAAAUUAAAGGAAAAAUAGUAACACAAUAAAAUCGCCAUAACAAGGCUAUAUAUCCUAGCUGGCAUGGCACUGUCAGUGGCGCAGCAGGAGGCUAAAUGGCAGGUAACAAUCAGAGAGCGCACCAACUGCAACUGGCACACCAGAAGGAGAGGGAGGUUGACGGACAGCAAUUAUGGAGCAGUGGUUAGGGCCAAGCACGUUACACCGUCACUGCUAAACAGGGUCCUUAGAUUGUCGGAUGGGGUGUUGUCUGUAAAGUGGGGCACAGAUAAUGAAGGGAAGGGCAUCAAGGCAUUCAAAAUGGCUACAGGGAUGGAUGUGCAGGAGCCAGGGCUUUGGGUCACGGGGUCUGAGAAGCGGAAGGGCGGAGGUGUAUGCUUCAUGAUUAACAACUCAUGGUGUAAUCAUAGCAACAUACAGGAACUCAAGUCCUUCUGCUCACCCGACCUAGAAUUCCUUACAAUCAAAUGCUGGCCAUGUUACCUCCUAAGGGAAUUCUCGUCAGUUAUCGUCACAGCGGUGAACAAUACCCCUCAAGCAGACACCAAGAUGGCCCUCAAGGAACUUUACUGGACUCUAUGUAAACUGGAAACCAUAUAUCCUGAGGCUGCAUUUAUUGUAGCUGGGGAUUAUAACAAAGCAAAUUUGAGAACAAGGCUAACGAAAUUCUAUCAGCAUAUUGAUUGCACUACAUGCGGGGGUAAUACACUUGAUCACUGCUACUCUAACUUCCACGAUGCAUACAAGGGCCCUCGCCGCCCUUCCUUCAGCAAAUCCGACCAUGAUGCCAUCUUGCUCCUACAGUCUUCUAGGCAGACACUCAAACAGGAUGUACCAGUGACUAGAACCAUUCAACGCUGGUCUGACCAAUCGGAAUCCAUGCUUCAAGAUUGUUUUGAUCACGAGGACUGGGAUAUGUUCCGCUCAGCCUCAGAGAACAACAUUGAAGGAAGUGCAUUGCAGAUGUUGUACACACUGUGACUAUUAAAACCUACCCUAACCAAAAAACGUGGCUGGAUGGCGGCAUUCGCUCAAAACUGAAAGCACGAACAAUCGCAUUAAACCAUCGAAAGAGGUCUGGGAAUAUGGUUGAAUAUAAACAGUGUAGUAAUUCCCUCUGCAAGUCAAUCAAACAAGCGAAAUGUUGGUACAGGGACGAAGUGGAGUCGCAAUUCAAUGGCUCAGACACAAGACGUAUGUGGCAGAGUCUGCAGGAAAUCACAGACUACAAAAAGAAAAACAGCCACAUCACGGACACUGACGUCACGCUUCCAGACAAACUAAACAUCUUCUUAUCAAGGACAGCACCCCCACCUUCUCCGUGGCCGAUGUGAGUAAAACAUUUAAACAUGUUAACCCUCGCAAGGCUGCUGGCCCAGCACUAACCACAUCCUCAGACCAUGUGCAGACCAGCUGGCUGGUGUGUUUACAGACAUAUUCAAUUGCUCCCUAUCCCAGUCUGCUGUCCCCACAUGCUUCAAGAUGGCCACCAUUGUUUCUGUACCCAAGAAGGCAAAGAUAACAACUAAAUGACCACCGGCCCAUAGCACUCACUUCUGUCAUCAUGAAGUGCUUUGAGAGACUAGUCAAGGAUCAUAUCACCUCCACCUUACCGGCCACCCUAGACCCACUUCAGUUUGCAUAUCGCCCCAACAGGUCUACAGACAAUGCAAUCACCAUCCCACUGCACACUGCCCUAUCCCAUCUGGACAAGAGGAAAACCUAUGUAAGAAUGCUGUUCAUUGACUACAGCUCAGCAUUCAACACAAUAGUACCCUCCAAGCUCAUCAUCAAGCUGGAGGCCCUGGGUCUCAACCCCACCCUGUGCAAUUGGGUCCUGGACUUUCUGACGGGCCGCCCCCAGGUGGUGAAGGUAGAAAACAACAUCUCCACUUAGCUGACCCUCAACACUGGGGCCCCACAAGGGUGCAUGCUCAGCCCCCUCCUGUACUCCCUGUUCACCCAUGACUGCGUGGCCAUGCAUGCCUCCGACUCAAUCAUCAAGUUUGCAGACGGCACUACAGUAGUCGGCUUGAUUACCGACAAUGAUGAGACAGCCUACAGGGAGAAGGUGAGGGCACUCGGAGUGUGGUAUCAGGAAAACAACCUCUCACUCAACGUCAACAAAACAAAGGAGAUGAUCGUGGACUUCAGGAAACAGCAGAGGGAGCACCCCCCUUUCCACAAUCGACGGGACAGCAGUGGAGAAGGUGGAAAGUUUUAAGUUCCUUGGCAUACACAUCACAGACUAACUGAAAUGGUCCACCCACACAGACAGUGUGGUGAAGAAGGCGCAACAGCGCCUCUUCAACCUCAGGAGGCGGAAGAAAUGUGGCUUUUCACCCAAAACCCUGACAAACUUUUACAGAUGCACAAUCGAGAGCAUCCUGGUACGGCAACUACACCACCCUCAACCGCAAGGCUCUCCAGAGGGUGGAGCGGUCUGCAAAACGCAUCAUCGGGGGCCAACUACCUGCCCUCCAGGAAACCUACAGCACUCGAUGUCACAGGAAGGCCAAAAAGAUCAUCAAGGACACCAACUAAACACCUGCUAAACAGCAAUCACUAACUCAGAGAGGCUGCUGCCUACAAUGAGACCCACUCACUGACCAGUUUAAUAAAUGGAGGGCACCACAGCAAUGGUGGAGGUCAAGUGUCCCUAUGGUGCAAAGGACCUUACCAUUGAAGAGGCAGUAAAGUCAAAGGAUUUAUUGAAGGAGGGAGGGUCUUACCGCCUCCGUGAAGAUGAUCCUUACUGUCACCAGGUCCAAGGUCAGCUUCGCAUCACUGGAAGGGACUUUGUUGUGUGGACCACCAAAGCCUCCAUCACCAUCCCCAUCCAGCGUGAUGACCUCUGAAAGACUCAUAUUGCUCCUCCUGUCAGUACCUGUUUACUGCGAAGCCAAUGGUCCAAAAAUAUUCCACAUAGUUCACACACACACUAGGCUCACAGAAAAGGUUAUAUUACAUACACAUUUUGCUCAAAGCAGCCAACUAAAGUCAUGUAGUUAACUUUAUCAUUUGAGAGAGAGUGUGAGAGAGAGAGUACAUCACUUCCAGCAGAUCUCCUUGCUGAGGGUGGUGUUGAUCAUGCACUGCUUCUCAUGGGGCUCGAUGUGCUGUGGUCUCCACAACUGGGCGCUUGCACUCGGUUCACACUGGCACAGGAUGUCCAUGCACCGGAUGGCCUGAGGGAUGCACCCCUGUAGCACUGUAAAACGAAGAGACAUUUGGUCAGUGAAAAUGGCAGCUGCAGACUGGAGUGGAAGCUCCUGCACUUCAUCUCUAGCCGACUCUGUCAGCUACAGUUCACCAGUGUGAUCAGAGAACUGUGCCCAAUCCAUGAUGAAUCCUGGUGCUGUAUUGAAAUGAACAUCUUCUUCC